rnacentral:lncRNA from 1 species
UCAGUCCCUCCCUCCCGCGCGCGCGCGUCCCCGCCGCGGGACUACUUUCCGUCGCCGCGCGCCCCGCCCCCUGCGUCCCCUCCACUCGCCUCCCCGGCGGAGGGGCACCUCUCGGCGGCCUCGUGACGCGUCCCUGUGUGAGCCGCGCCGCUAUUGGGUCCGCGCCGCGGAGGAAAUGAGAGCGCGGCGCCGAUUGGUCCGGCCUUCCCUGCAAUGCGUCAAACUGGGGCGAGCCACUGCGUGGUGGUGGUGGGGAAGCCCGAGGUGUGUGGCUGCGAGAAGCCGUGAGGUGUAACGAGGCGAAGGGAGACGCUUUGUGGCUGUUAGAGAUGCAAAUAUAUCGUCUCGGUGGUCGGGGGGUGGUAAAAGGGCUGGCGGAAGAUGCAGGAGGACUAUCCGGGCUCUCCCCUCUAACAGAUGGAAGAUGAUGAGGAAUCUGCAAUUGCAAUGGACCAAGGAUACACAGAUAGUGACAAAGCUGGGAUUUGGACACUGGCCUGUUUGGCCCCAAAGGCUGAGAGCUUGGGUUUGUGUCAUUCUGCCUCCAGAAUUACCCACUGAGUUAACAAGAUCUUUGGACUUAUGCCUUCGGAGCCCUGCUAUACUGGAGACACCUCAUGGGGAACAGAAGAGAGACGCCAGGGAGCCUCUGGCACCAGAUAGGUGGAUUAAGAAAGCUUCAAGACAGUCCUAGCCUGAGCCACCACCUGACUGCAGCCUCGUGAGAGCUCUUGAGCUGGAUCUGCCUUAAUGAGCUGCUUCUGAAUUCCUGCCUACAGACUCUGAGAAAUAUAAUAAAUGCUUGCUGCUGUUACUCUGAAGUGCCCA